AACAUCUUUAAUGAACACUGCUGCCAAGUUCCUCAUUCUGUUAAAAUUUCAAAACAAAACAAUUCAGCAUUCUUUCUUUUGGGUCUAUGACUAACUACCUAAAGAAACAAUCAGGCUGCAUAAUUCAGAGAGAUGCUUACAAGAAGGAACUAAGCCUGUUCCUUUUUCUGAAUAUAAAGAACAAGAAAUUUUCUGAGAAGCAGACUUUCACUGCUUCUUUUCCAAAUUAUCUCCCAUUUCUUCUUUCCAAGGUCUUCUCUUUAAUCUUUAUGUAAGUUCUAGCACAAAGGCAAAUUCACCCUCUUGGACCUUUCAACAAGAUCUGCAUUGGUACAGGUUAGCAUUCUGUUUAGGAAAGGGGCAGAAGGUCAGGAUUAACCAUUAUAUAUUAAAACACCGGGAUGACUUAAAUUGGAAUGUAUUUGUCAACAUAUUAACUCUGUGGGGAACAUUCUUAUUCUGCUUGUCAUACUCAAUUCAGUCUGAAUUGGCUACAAGCUGACUGUAGCUGCAGGAAUGGACUGGCUCCCUGGGGGAUGGCAAAUUCAAAUAUUCUCCUAGGGCAGUGUACUUUCAAUAUUGGAUGACUGAAUCUCAGGUGUGGCACUGGGGAAUCAUGAAAAAGAUAUCUAAAUGAAGAAGUUCAGAUGAAGACAGCAAGUCAAAAGAUUUCUCUAACCCUUAUUUAACGGGGCAGGGAACUUUGAGAACAUCACACUCAUGGUCUAAGAGCAAUGAGUGGCUUGAGAAACUGCAAUUCACUUCUGGUGUGAGAGAAUUGGCCAUCUGCAAGGAUGUUUGAUGUUUUACCAUCCUUGUGGGAGGCUUCUCUCAUGUCCCCACAUUGGGAGCUGGAGCUGAUAAAGGGAGCUCAUCCGCACUCUCCUCGGAUUCAAACUGGCAACCUUCAGGUCAGCAACCCAACCUUCAAGUCAGUAGUCCUGCCAGCACAAGAGUUUAACUCACUGCCAACACAAGGGUUUAACUCAUUGCACCACGAGGGGCUCCAGUUAUUUUGCUGAAUGGGCUAAACGGUUAUGUGUGUUUAGGGAGAAGAAAUCCCUGGAAAUUGGUAAGAGGCACUUUCUGUGUCUUGAAGUAAGGCUGAUCCUGGAUCCAAUAGUAUGUAAAAUCAAAGCAAUAUUUAAAUGGACAGGGAUAAUAGGGAUAAGAACUGUACUAUACCCACUGUCUGCCACAUUCCAUGGUUGAUCAUGGGUCCACUGCUGGUCACACGGCCAAUUCCAUUGUACUUGAGUUGCAGCUCUAAUCGUCCACUGCGCAAACCCAGGACUAUCCACCUACUACCCUGAUGGCCUCCAGCAAAGAAAAGGAUGCCUUCAGCAUCGAAAGUUCUGAAUUCAAAUUCAGCCACAAGUCUAAUCACAUAGGUAAACACAGAAAAAACAGAGUUAUACAAUGCUUCAGAGAGAAAGAAAACAAAUUGCACUGACAGUCAUACAUGAAGCAAUGGAACUGAUAUUAAUCACAAUUAAUUGAAUUUUUCUCUGUUUUAAUGAGUCUGCUAUUGUAAGUACCAUUGAAUAAAUCUGGAUCAAACUCA